ACUCCUACGGGAGGCAGCAGUGGGGAAUUUUGCGCAAUGGGGGAAACCCUGACGCAGCAACGCCGCGUGGAGGAUGAAAUCCCUUGGGAUGUAAACUCCUUUCGAUCGGGACGAUUAUGACGUACCUGAAGA
rnacentral:rRNA from 1 species